rnacentral:lncRNA from 1 species
GGCAACUUGUGGUACAAGUUGGCCAUCUAGCGGACAUGUAGGAAACUUAUUUUUGAAGCUAGACUCAUGAUUUGUAAGUUGGACAUGUGUCAGAGAUCCUAUAGAAUGUUGCUAUAUAGCUCUUAAUUAGAUAAUGUACAUGGAGACAAGAGUUAAGCCUUCUCCACUCUUGUCAAUGCCUUUCUUGUCUCUAGUCUUGUUUUAA